ACCAUUAUCGUCCAGUGGUUAGGAUGCCAGAUUUUCAAACGAUCAAACGACUUGAGAUCUCUGGAGACCGGGGUUCGAACCCCCGUAAUGGUA